GACCUAAGCCGAGGCCGAAAGGCGUAGGCGAUGGACAACAGGUAGAGAUUCCUGUACCACCUCCUCACCGUUUGAGCAAUGGGGGGACGCAGGAAGGUAGGGAGAGCAGGCUGCUGGAAUAGCCUGUCCAAGCGGUUAGGCUGCCAGAUAGGCAAAUCCGUCUGGCGCAAGGCGAAGCCGUGAUGGCGAGGGAAAUGAAGUACCGAAGUCCCUGAUCCUACACUGCCAAGAAAAGCCUCUAGCGAGGUGAGAGGUGCCCGUACCGCAAACCGACACAGGUAGGCGAGGAGAGAAUCCUAAGGUGCGCGGGAGAACUCUCGUUAAGGAACUCGGCAAAAUGACCCCGUAACUUCGGGAGAAGGGGUGCUCGUUUGGGUGAAGAGCCCGAACGAGCCG
rnacentral:rRNA from 1 species